GAUAACACUCAUGUUUCCAUGGUUUUUAAUGUUCUUUUGAUGUCAAUUUUAUAGGAAAUUGAGUGUUUAAUGAUUGUUUUGUGCUUAAAUUGCUUUAUCUUGUGAAAUAUGUUACUUGCUCGUACUUUGAUGAUUUUUACAGAAAUAUGGAGUUCGAAUUUGGACCAAUGCUCUUAAUGAAAGUUGUAGAUCGUCUCGAUACGAGUUCGUAGGCGCAAACGGUUCGCAAAUCCGAGUUCGGACGAGGAAGAUAUGGCCAAAACAAGAAAGUCGCGCGCAGCAGUGAAUAGUGCCCGACGGGAAUUUCCGAAUUUUCGGGAUUUUGCGGGAUUUUCGGAUUUUAUCAGUAUUUUC
rnacentral:lncRNA from 1 species